AUAUAAAAAUAGAUAUUAUAUCAAAGUCAUGGACAAUUCGCUGCUCUCUGUCCAUCUCUGCACUCACUCAUGUGUUUCAUUUUUGACUGGUCCCUCUUUCUGUGGUGCUUUUCAAGAGGAACCCCUUUGAGACACAUGCAGCUCCAGUGGGACUGGGGACAGGCAGUCGGCCAGCUUCCAGGGUAAACAUAUAAUCAUCCCUCGGAUGGCUAUAAUUAUAUCUGGGACGUGAAGGAACAGAAGGGAGUGUGAGGGAAGGAAACCAUGCAGGCAGGCAGAUACACAGUAGCUAGCAAGAGAAACCAACCACACAAACAUCAUGACUAGAACUGGACAUCUUUCUUGGAGAAGAUUGAGGCCAACUUUAGUAUUGAAGCAAUUUAAGUAUUGGUAGUGGUUGAACAACAAAAACUAAAACUAGGUUUACUAGAGAUAAAAAACAGCAAGAAUAGACUGACAACUUAUUAAUAUGCAUAACUCAUAUUUCAGUAUUCAUAUAGUGAUUGAACAACAACUGCUUUUCCCCCCCACAGCCCUAAUGGCUUAGUAACUGUUAAGUCAGUCAGUCAGUCAGUCAGUAAUUGCUGCAGAUGUGCUCAAUAGUGCUUAAGCAUAUGGUACUCCACAAAGCAUGGCACAACACACAGGGGUGUGUCACAAACUAAACACGUACAUUGUCAAACUCCUCUGCUUCCUUCUCCUUGUGCCGGACAGGCAGACUUUGCAGUGCCUCCGUGUGUGACUACCUUGAGCAGCAGCUUGAGGGACUUUGCAGGGAAAAUGCCGUGCAGUGAGGUGUAGGGGAUUGUCUGCAGCAGGACGACCCCCAGUGGAUGGGUGCCGAGGGGUGUGGUGCUCCUCCAGCAGCUCUCUCAUGAGGUUCUCUCUGUACUUUUGGUGGUCUACCUUCCCUGUGGCCGACAUGGUUGCUGUAUGGAUAGUGGAAAGGACAUGGAUGUCUCGUUUGUCAUGUCACUUUACUGCCAACCGUUACCUGUUCUCCUGGAACUCCACCUCCCCCUUCUGCAUCUUCCUGUUUCCGAAUGCAGGCAUCCACUUCCUAUUCGACCGAACCGUGCCACAGGUCCCAGUGCUGUUGGAGAGCAGAAGCUGGAAGAGUGUAGGACUGUUGUACCAAUUCAAAUAAAUAUCAAAUGUUAUUGGUCGCGUACAGAUAAUUGGCAGAUGUUAUUGCAGGUGCAUGGUCCUCAUAAGCAUGGUCCUCAUAAGCCCCUCAUGACGUUGGAUAUCAGUGGUGGACCCUGUGUAGACUAUAAUGUAUUUGACAAAUCCUGCCUUCACUUCGCAUAUAACAAAGAACUUCACCCCAAACCUGUGCCUUUUAAAGUGAAUAUAUUGACGGAAAACCAGCAUACUCUUCCAUAACAUCAGGGACUAACUAACUAACGUGUUUCUAUAUCUGCAUUGCUUGCUGUUUGGGGUUUUAGGCUGGGUUUCUGUGUAGCACUUUGUGACAUCUGCUGAUGUAAAAAGGUCGUUUUAAAUACAUUUGAUUGAUUGAUUGAACUAAUGCAGCUGCAUAGGUGAAUUCACGUAGGAGGUUAAGAGAAUGAGGUUAGGAAAAGGGUUAGGCUUAGCUACAAUCCAAGGGGCCAGGGUUCUGGUCUUGAAGCACAAUUUUGACUGCUCCUACAGUUUUGCUUUGGUACUGCAAUUUAACUGACUCCCGGCCCAGAAAGACAAUUUCCAUACACGGCCACAUAGAGAAGUCAGAUUUGAAAAUUCCUAAUAAGACACUUAAAACAUCCAUUGAAUUAUUUAAACUGAAGCACUCACAGCCGAAGAUAUUAGCAUUUUAUAUUCAUUCAAUGCCUGCCAUGUUUUUGGAUGAUGUGAUGACGACUUCGUCGCUGCUCCCUGUGCGCAGUGAGUGCUACAGUAGUGCACAUGUGAUGUUGGUCCUUAUUAACCGGAUGCAAAAGAGGGGGGUGUAACUCUAUAUUAGGAAGGUGUUCCUAAUAUUUGGUAUACUCAGUGUAUAUACUGUAUUCUUGUCAAGGCUAAUCCUAUAUACUGUAAGUACUGCUCUACAGACUUUUUCUAUUUAUAUACUGUCCAUAAUAUCCUAGUGUCAAAAUUGUGAAGUGUAAAUAGUAUAAUUUUGGUCAUAAAUUCAGUCUCGUCCAAAAAGGAGAUGAUAGGAAAAUGUAUGUCACAGAAUGAAGGGUACAUAACAGUUUUCUGUGGGCUGGGUUUAUUUUAUUCCUACCCACAUGCCCACAGCUGGCAAGUAAUCAUCAAUUCGGAGCGCAGCUGCACAGGACCCGAUCGUAAUGCCCAUGGUCAAUUUGGUUUGACAUUCGAUAUCCCUAUGGGGUUAUUUGUACAUCUCACUGGGCACACACUGGUUGAAUCAAUGUUGUUUCCAUGUAAUUUCAAUUAAAUUACGUUGAACCAAUGUGGAAUUGACGUUGAAUUGAUGUCAGUGCCCAGUGGGAUGGGGCAAUAUUUUAAAAGGUAACAGCUCCAACUUUCUAUGACUUAAAACCUCAAACCAACUUUAAAUUCAAGAAAGUCAUAUACAAAUAUUGAAAGCAUUUAAUGAGACAACUGAAAGAUGUGAAUUUACAUUGUGCAAUUUAUUGACAGUCCCUAUCUAUCCCCAGAGAUAGGCUAUCCAAAGUCAAACCAACUUUGCCAUGGUUGCACACCAGCCCGUUGAAAAUAAUUGGCGAAAUAAUUUGGCUAACUCUUCCCACCUGUGAACACACAGAAGAGACACCCAUAUCAAAACACACCCCAAAACUAACUCAUGUUUGAAUUCAGUCAUGGUCGCUAGCAUUUGAACCAAAUCUAAAACAUGGCCAAAUGAGGAAUUGCAGUCGCCCUUUAACAAUUUACAGACAUUUUUUCAAAAACACAUUUACUGGAAGAACUGCACAGAUGCAAAGUUUGGUAAAAGAAUUUCAGUAAAAUGUACCUGUUUUUUAUGUGACCACGUUUUCCAAAAAACUUGGUUAAAUAUCUGCUCUGUACUGAGAUACCCCUUUGUUGCUGCAGACAUCUUUGUGUCAGCUAUAAAAAUAAAAACAUUUGAUUAUUGUCACAUACACCG